rnacentral:rRNA from 1 species
UACGGAGGGUGCAAGCGUUAAUCGGAAUUACUGGGCGUAAAGCGCACGCAGGCGGUCUGUCAAGUCGGCUGUGACAUCCCCGGGCUCAACCUGGGAACUGCAUUCGAACCUGGCAGGCUAGAGUCUUGUAGAGGGGGGUAGAAUUCCAGGUGUAGCGGUGAAAUGCGUAGAGAUCUGGAGGAAUACCGGUGGCGAAGGCGGCCCCCUGGACAAAGACUGACGCUCAGGUGCGAAAGCGUGGGGAGCAAACAGGAUUAGAUACCCUGGUAGUCCACGCCGUAAACGAUGUCGAUUUGGAGGUUGUGCCCUUGAGGCGUGGCUUCCGGAGCUAACGCGUUAAAUCGACCGCCUGGGGAGUACGGCCGCAAGGUUAAA